AAAUGCCUCGUCAUCUAAUUAGUGACGCGCAUGAAUGGAUCAACGAGAUUCCCACUGUCCCUACUUACUAUCUGGUGAAACCGCAGCCAAGGGAACGGACUUGGUAAUAUCAGCGGGGAAAGAAGACCCUGUUGAGCUUGACUCUAGUCCGACUUUGUGAAAUAUCUUUAGGGGUGUAGAAUAAGUGGGAGGGCAACCAAUCUUGAAAUACCACUACCUUAAAUGAUGUUUUACUUAUUUGAUUAUUAGAAAAUUUACUUUUAGUAUUAAGUGAUCAUUAGAUCAUGUAUUCUUUUCAAAGACAUUGUCAGAUGGGGAGUUUGGCGUGGGCGGCACGAUUUGCUAAAAGAUAACGCAAGUGUCCAAAGAUGAACUCAAUGAGAACAGAAAUCUACAUGUAAGAACAAAAGGGUAAAA
rnacentral:rRNA from 1 species